rnacentral:lncRNA from 1 species
UCUCGGCUCGGUGUCGUUCACGCCGCGGGCUGGACGGCUCUGCGGAACCGCCCGUAGUUGCGGUUAUCCGUCAGAUCGAACGGGUUAACCGCGUUCUCUUCCCAGUUCGCGUCGCGGCGGAACCGCCCGUAGUUGUUGUUGUCCGCAAGGUCGAACGGGUUGAACGCCUUCUCUUCCCAGUUGGCGUCGCGGCGGAAUCGACCGAAGUUGUUGUUGUCCGCGAGCGAAAACGGGUUCUUCCAGUCGAAACCCGACACGGGGGCCAUGUCUUCGGCGGCGGCGACGUCGGUCUCUUUCGCGCCGCGGCGGAACCGUCCGUAGUUGUUGUUGUUCUCGAGGUCGAACGGGUUGAACGCCUUCUCUUCCCAGUCCGCGUCGCGGCGGAACCGUCCGAAGUUGUUGUUGUCCGCGAGCGAGAACGGGUUCUUCAGAACGAAACCCGACACGGGGGCCAUGUCUUUGGCGGCGGUUUGCGGCUUCUCGCGGCGGAACCGCCCGACGUUCGCCUUCUGCGUCACCUGCCUCAGCGCCGCCGGGUCGCCUUUAACGAACCCGUCGUGCGAAAACUCGAG